rnacentral:rRNA from 1 species
GAUGAACGCUAGCGGCAGGCUUAACACAUGCAAGUCGAGGGGUAUAGUUCUUCGGAGCUAGAGACCGGCGCACGGGUGCGUAACGCGUAUGCAAUCUACCUUUUGCAGAGGGAUAGCCCAGAGAAAUUUGGAUUAAUACCUCAUAGUAUGUGAGAAUGGCAUCAUUUUCACAUUAAAGUCACAACGGCAAAAGAUGAGCAUGCGUCCCAUUAGCUUGUUGGUAAGGUAACGGCUUACCAAGGCAACGAUGGGUAGGGGUCCUGAGAGGGAGAUCCCCCACACUGGUACUGAGACACGGACCAGACUCCUACGGGAGGCAGUAGUGAGGAAUAUUGGGCAAUGGGCGCAAGCCUGAUCCAGCCAUGCCGCGUGCAGGAUGACGGUCCUAUGGAUUGUAAACUGCUUUUGUACAGGAAGAAACACUGGUUCGUGAACCAGCUUGACGGUACUGUAAGAAUAAGGAUCGGCUAACUCCGUGCCAGCCGCCGCCGUAAAAC